GGUUAUUCAGCAGGCGAGGCUGGCUGCGGGGAGGAAGGGGAGGGAAAUGCAACAGCUCCAUGUUACAAGGUUCCUUAAAGAGCAGCCUGGCAGAGGAAAAUGCUGGCUUUUCAUGAAACGCACUGCAGGAUGGUCUGAGAGCAGAUGAGAUGAAUGCACUGCAAAGUGUCCAGUGAGCCUGCACACAACUGGGACUCAGAAUCGUAACGUAGUUGAGGUUGGAAGGUCUCUGGAAGUCUCCUGGUCCAAACACCCUGCUACAGAAGGGCUGCCUAGGACUGAUUGCCCAGGGCUUUUCCAGAUGGCUUUUCAAGAUCUCCAAGGAUGGAUACCACAGCCUCUGGGCAACCAACCCCAAAUCUCUCAGCCUCUCCUUAUAUGAGGGAUACUUCUGUUCCUUAAUCAUCUCCCCUUUGCUGGAAGUUCUCCAGUAGCUCCAUUUCUCUCUUGUACCGGUCAGCCCAGAACCAAAACCUCCAAAACUGCUGAAAAAGGCUGCUGAAGCCCGGGAUUGAACCAGGGACCUUUAGAUCUUCAGUCUAACGCUCUCCCAGCUGAGCUACUUCAGCUCUGCCCUGGCAUGAAUAUUCGCCAAACCUGAUGCAAUGUAAUCAUCCUGGAGACCUUUCCAGACAAACCUUGUUGACAUUAGCUUGUGAGUCAAGUAAGUCAUUUCAGGGAACAGAAUGCAGACAGGCUGGGCUCAAAAACAAUGGUCCAACCAUCUGCAUCAACACAGGGCCCUCACUGUAAGACACCUCUCUAUAUAUAGAGGCUCUGUGUGUGAGCCUUCAAUAACAGCAUGUCUCUGGGGGUUGUAUGGAAGAGGAGCAUGGAAACAAACCUUCUGUUCCUGAAGGGCUGAAAGGGGAGUACAUUUACCUUCAUGUUACAGAAGGGAUCUGUCACUCACAAAUCAUUGCAAGGAAAAUGAGGAGAUGGAGCUAGGUCUCUAUAAAUGCAAAACUACUGAUGGGAGCUGAAUGACAAGGGUGAUGGAGGAUGAAGAGGAAAGACAAAUUAAUAGUAAGAAAAGCUCAACAAAUGACUGUGAAUGGGAACAGAAUAAAAGGGACUAUCAAAUACAGACCAUUUGUUCUGUGUUUCUUGUUUUGAAUAGAACCUGUUGUUUUCUUCUUCAAAUACUAAUUCUUUGUCACUCUGUUUAAGGUUAGACUUAGAUGUCAGUUGUGCUGGUUAAUUUAAUUCUCUUCUGUAGAGUUAGACUUAUCUGCAGUGCCACCUCUG